rnacentral:rRNA from 1 species
GACGAACGCUGGCGGCGUGCCUAACACAUGCAAGUCGAACGGAGUUAAGCCCUUCGGGACUUAACUUAGUGGCGAACGGGUGAGUAACGCGUGAGCAAUCUGCCUUCGAGUGGGGGACAACAGUUGGAAACGACUGCUAAUACCGCAUAAGACCACGCUUCCGCAUGGAAGAGCGGUCAAAGGAUUUAUUCGCUUGAAGAUGAGCUCGCGUCCGAUUAGAUAGUUGGUGAGGUAACGGCCCACCAAGUCGACGAUCGGUAGCCGGACUGAGAGGUUGAACGGCCACAUUGGGACUGAGACACGGCCCAGACUCCUACGGGAGGCAGCAGUGGGGAAUAUUGGGCAAUGGGCGAAAGCCUGACCCAGCGACGCCGCGUGAGGGAAGACGGUCUUCGGAUUGUAAACCUUUGUCAACAGGGAAGAAACAAAUGACGGUACCUGUGGAGGAAGCCACGGCUAACUACGUG